rnacentral:rRNA from 1 species
GACGAACGCUGGCGGCGUGCUUAACACAUGCAAGUCGAACGGAAAGGCCCCUUUGGGGGUACUCGAGUGGCGAACGGGUGAGUAACACGUGAGUAACCUGCCCUUGACUUCGGGAUAACUUCAGGAAACUGGGGCUAAUACCGGCUAGGAAUCCUUGCUGCAUGGUGGGGGUUGGAAAGCUUCGGCGGUUUUGGAUGGACUCGCGGCGUAUCAGCUUGUUGGUGGGGUAGUGGCUUACCAAGGCUUUGACGGGUAGCCGGCCUGAGAGGGCGACCGGCCACAUUGGGACUGAGAUACGGCCCAGACUCCUACGGGAGGCAGCAGUGGGGAAUAUUGCACAAGGGGCGGAAGCCUGAUGCAGCAACGCCGCGGGCGGGAUGACGGCCUUCGGGUUGUAAACCGCUUUCAGCAGGGGCGAAGCUUGUGGUGACGGUACCUGCAGAAGAAGCACCGGCUAACUACGUG